UACGUAGGUGGCGAGCGUUGUCCGGAAUUACUGGGGUGUAAAGCGCGUGUAGGCGGGAGGCCAAGUCGUGCCUGUGAAAUCGCCCGGCUCAACUGGGCGGGGGUCGGUGGAAACUGGUCGAGCCUGGAGGACGGUAGAGGCGAGUGGAAUUCCCGGUGUAGUGGUGAAAUGCGUAGAGAUCGGGAGGAACACCAGUGGCGAAAGGCGGCUCGCUGGCCGGCCCUGGACCGCUGAGACGCGAAGGCGUGGGGAGCGAACGGGAUUAGAAACCCGGUAGGUAGUCCAAGACCGAAU
rnacentral:rRNA from 1 species